GAUAAACUGUCACAUUCUACCCUGUUACAACAUGAUUUUUUUCAAAAAUAUACACAAUGCACAAAAUCAAAAUAUAUAUAUAUAUAUAUA